rnacentral:misc_RNA from 1 species
UCCGAGUUGACCCCGGCAGUCUCCUAUGAGUCCCCACCAUUACGUGCUGGCAACAUAGGACGAGGGUUGCGCUCGUUGCGGGGCUUAACCCAACAUCUCACGACACGAGCUGACGACAGCCAUGCAACACCUGUCUCGGGACUCCGAAGAGGGGCCGUGGUUUCUCACGGCUUUCCCCGAGAUGUCAAGCCCAGGUAAGGUUCUUCGCGUUGCGUCGAAUUAAACCACAUGCUCCACCGCUUGUGCGGGCCCCCGUCAAUUCCUUUGAGUUUCAGCCUUGCGGCCGUACUCCCCAGGCGGGGCACUUAAUGCGUUAGCGCCGGCACGGGGGGAGUCGACACCCCCCACACCUAGUGCCCAUCGUUUACAGCGUGGACUAC